rnacentral:lncRNA from 1 species
CCGCGGCUCUGCGGUGGUGUGUGUCUCUCUCAGGCAUGGGAGUCUCAGGAGAAUUUGGAAACUGGCAUCUGCGGAGCAGCCCCCAGAGGCCCACUGACUCCCCUCUUCCCCAAGGCCAGCCCAGGCCCAGAGAAACCCCUGAAAGUUUGGGGGAGCCCUCCCCAGCACCUGCUUCUCCUGACAUUCUACCUCUCCCUGCCAUACUUGUCCUUCCCUAAUGGACUUGGAACGCCACAAAAUCCAGAGCCUGGGUCAUUUGUAACCAGAAGCCGGCUCCUCCUACCCCAAGGGCAAAGAGGGCUAAGGCGAGAAACCCUCCCAAGGUGAAGGAAAUUUUGUCAAAGAAGAAAAAGGACAAAAACCAACAUCACCAAGAAAGCCCGGGGCAGUGGUAUCCUCACAAACACAGACACACCUGCAGACUUCUCUCACCAAAUCGAGAUUACAAAGCACAGCUUCCACUGCUUCUUAGCUUUUCACUCUGUGUUAUGCCAGGAGCAUUUUCUCAUGUCAUUUGAAAAUGGGAUUUCUGAGGGUAGCUCCCAAGGGUGACUUAGUAAAUGAACUGAAGCCAGGGGAUGAAGUGGGUUAGAGACCAGUCGUGGAUGGCACAGAGACUGGCAUCUGUAACCUGUCUCUUUCAUUUCUACCCCUUCCUCAGCCCAUCCCUAGCCUUCCCUCACUCAAGAGGCUACCGUGGCUCCCCAUUUUUAUCACAUCAAGUCUAAACUCCAGCUUUCAAACCACUCAUAACCUGGCAGGCUCUUCUCCUCUCUGUCAGUGAAUGCCCCCGACCCUCACCACGGUACCCAUUCCUCUCUUCUGUCUCUUGAGGUGCCCCCACCCCACAUAGUGCUCAAUCCUGUGUCCUUGCCCUGCUGAGCAAUUCCCUCCCUCCCUCCUCCUCUCCCCAGUCCCCCUCAUCCCUGUCAUCCAUCCCCUACUCCUUGCAAGUGGCCUCUGUAGUCCUCUCUAGGGCCCUCUCUCAUCUCCCUCUCUGCGGCGGGUCCUGGCACCUCCGUGGCAGGCGGGAUUUGUUGCCAUCCCAGGGGGAAUACUGGGCUUCUCAGUGGGCAGGGCUUGAGGCUUCAUCCCUCCUCUUCUGGAGCCCGCUGCAUGGUGCAGCAGGGCUGGGAGGGCUGGGCCAGUGAACCUGUACUUCUCAGGAGGAAGGGCUUUGCCCA